rnacentral:ncRNA from 2 species
ACGAUUGAGGUGCGUUUUUCAUCAGUAACGGCUGUACACCUGUCCCGAUGCUUCCGGCCGCCGUGAAAGGGAGAAACGCCGAAAAUGCCGCUGCCCGUUCGGGAGGGGCGCAGCGUUUGGGCCGUCGGCGGAAUACGCGACGGACUGUCAUCAUGAAGAUUUAUGAUGGAGUGCUGUCUGU